GCAGGUUGACCUCUACUAAGGAUCCCAGGCCAGUGUUUUCUUAGGAGAAAAAGGACAAGGGGGGGGGGGGAAUCUGCCCAGAGGGUAUAGCCAGCCUCUCCAGUUCUGCCAGGGCCAGACUCCUCCUGAAGUUCAUGAGGAUGGCUGCAUAGAGGAACUUGGUGGAGAAGGGACUUUCUGGCAAAAAAUGUGCAGUGUGUGCUUUUCUAUGGCAGGAAGUGAGGGAGACUCAGAAAAGCUGAGUCAGGCCCCUCUGGGACCACAGUGAAGGAGCCCUUUUCUGCCCUCACCCAAAAGAACCCCCACCCAUCCCCCUCUUCUCACUGAGGAGGUGGAGGGGUGACAAGGGACUGGACAGGACACCCCGCAGACUCUCCAGCCAUUCUCGCUGUUCCUUUUCAGUGGGGCAGGUGAAGAUGAACUUCCGCUCUGGAGUGAUGACGAAAAACCUGGCCCUGCUCAAAAGCAUCCUGCAAAUGGAAGGCAUGUAGUCCUCAGAGGCUGCCUUGGGGCAGAAGAGCCCUUGCAGCCUGGCCAAUCCCAAGGUCAAGUUUGGUAAAAAGGUACCUGUUCCAAAGGUUAGCUGACUGAAUGGCCUAGGCACAGGAGUGACCUAGAGCUGUACAUCUGGCCCAAACAGGUCACCUGCAGCUCUGGGUUGCUCUGGGUUGUAUGGGCCAAAGGGAUCAAAAGUGAGAGACUGACUGGAAGCCCUCUCUGGGCCAUGCUGGGCAGUACAGAAGGCACCUG